rnacentral:rRNA from 1 species
GAUGAACGCUGGCGGCGUGCCUAAUACAUGCGAGUCGAGCGAACGGACGAGAAGCUUGCUUCUCUGAUGUUAGCGGCGGACGGGUGAGUAACACGUGGAUAACCUACCUAUAGGACUGGGAUAACUUCGGGAAACCGUAGCUAAUACCGGAUAAUAUUUUGAACCGCAUGGUUCAAAAGUGAAAGACGGUCUUGCUGUCACUUAUAGAUGGAUCCGCGCUGCAUUAGCUAGUUGGUAAGGUAACGGCUUACCAAGGCAACGAUGCAUAGCCGACCUGAGAGGGUGAUCGGCCACACUGGAACUGAGACACGGACCAGACUCCUACGGGAGGCAGCAGUAGGGAAUCUUCCGCAAUGGGCGAAAGCCUGACGGAGCAACGCCGCGUGAGUGAUGAAGGUCUUCGGAUCGUAAAACUCUGUUAUUAGGGAAGAACAUAUGUGUAAGUAACUGUGCACAUCUUGACGGUACCUAAUCAGAAAGCCACGGCUAACUACGUG